rnacentral:tRNA from 1 species
GGAGAGGUGGCUGAGUGGUUGAAAGCACCGCACUCGAAAUGCGGCGUGGGGGUAACUCCACCGUGGGUUCGAAUCCCACCCUCUCCGCCA